rnacentral:lncRNA from 1 species
GAAUGAUGUUACACCAUCAGUUACAUCACACAAAUGAAUAACUGUAUCUACUCAGGUAAGUCACUGCUUCUCUGUUUCAAGGGCUUUCUGCCAACAACUGUUUCUUUAAAGGUAAUUUUAUUUUUACCUGAAGAUAUUUUGUUGACCAUAUUUCCCAAAUUUGGCCUAAAUCUAUUCAAGUCAUUUUCACAUAAUGAAAAAAUAAGCAGUUAGAUCAUAGUAAUGCUUUAUACCUGCACUUGUGCUGAAUAUUGGAUCAUGAGUAUCUUUUCAGUCACUAUAGACCUCUUUUAUUCUCGAUAACACCUUGGAAUAUUACCCUAUAGAGAGGGCUAUCAUAAUGUAUAACUGGCCAACUACUUGGCCAUUUUAUUCUUACCAAUAUUCAUGCUAUUGUGAAUAACAUAAUUCAUCUUUUUGAAUCUGUGGCAAAAUUUUGUAUGAUAAAUUCAUAGAGAAGAAAUUCCUAGACAGAAAUUAUAAACACAUAAAAUUAAUAGAUAAUAACAAUUAUAGUUUAAAACAAUUGAAAAGCUUGGCUCUUGCACUAGCAUCCUGUGGGAGGGGCUGCAUCUACAUACUUUCACCAACAUUGGAUCAUAUUAAUAGAUUUUAUCAUAAUCAGCAUAAUAGAUAUAGGCAUAAUUCAAUCCAAUCUAAUUCCAUUUUUGUUUUUACAUAUUUUUUUCAGAUUGAGGAAGUGAAGCAAAGCAACUUAGGCAAUUUUUUUCUUUAUUGAACAUGCAAAGGGGAUAGCAGUGUUGUUAAAAUGGUACUUAAUUUUCAUUAAUUUCCUAUGAUCAACUUCUUGACAGAUGUUUUCACCUUCCAGAAGAAAUGGCAGAUUUUGAAGAUGCCAUAGGGUGAGGAGACAUCACUGCUUGACUCAGGACACUUACCAUUACAAAGCUUUAUCAUGUAAUCAAGGAAUGCAAUACAGAUGUAAUUGCUUUCCCAUUGAUUUGGAAAGGGUUUCAAAAAUGCUCAUCAAAAUACCUUUGUUGAGAUAAUCAGAAUUUUUAAAAUUACAGAUAGGCUUUCUCCUAAACUGAAAUAUCCCUGCUAUUUGUAAUAAUGAGGUUUACAUAAACCUUAAGAUUUCCAGAAUAUAUGCAUAUCUGAAAUAAAUGAAAAUAUUAGCAGUUGGAGAAGAGUCCCUUUGUAGAACAAUCAAUGUAGCUGUCACAAAACAUAAAACACAGGAAAUUCUCUCACUUUUAGUGUAUGGCAGUCCACAUCAUCCAUUUGAAAUACUAAAAUAAAAACGAGUUUUCAAAAAGGGAUAUUUUUAAUCACUCAUAGCAGAUGGAGUUUCUGGUUGCAAGAAACAAACUAAUCAUGACCUAUCCAAGCACAAAAACAUUUUAUUAAAAGGAUAUCGAAAAGUUCACCCAUCAUAAUGUGGAAGUAUGGGGACAUGUCAAAGCAAAAAGCAAAAAGAGAUGUCACAGUCUGGGCUGAGGAACCCAAACCAAGAAAAAUUUCCCUGAACACUACUGCAUCUUGAAACAGAUCCUGAAGCUCGUAUUGCCAAUUCAGUCAAUGCAGGACAAAGAAUGGAAGUUGCCAUGGGAACUGCUUCCAUUAUUCUGUCUCCAACCUGAUCUAACCUCUACUGCCCAUCCACAGAAUGCGUACUGCAUGCCCCCUUUCUUUGCAUCCCUGCCUUCUCAAAGGCUAACCUGGAGAACAAAUAGGAAAAACUCAAGAAGAAACUGAAGAGCAUCUGGUAUUUGUGCUGUACAGUGAAAGACAAAUAUGGAGAGAAAAUUCAGAGACUGGAAGAACAGAAAACAGUAACAAAUGUUAACUUUAAUUUCAGAAUAUCAGUAGUAUUUCUUUACUGAGGCUAAAGAUAAAACCUUUGUUUUGUAUUAAAAAUCUUCUUUGAUGGACUGAGGGUGCAGCUCAGCAGUAUAGUGCCUAUUUAGCUUGCAUGUGGUCCUGGGUUCAAUGUGCAGCACCAAAAAAAAAAAAAAUUAAGUGAUGAGACUAUGUACUAUUAAAUUUUCUCAUCCUCAAUACAUAUGCUUUCUUUUUUGUGAAUCACAUAUUUGUUAAUCAAAUCCGAAUUACUUUGGUUC